CAAUGAUAAAUUCAUGAUAUGUUUUGUUUAUUUGUUUUUUAAUUAACAAAUUUUAAUUAUUUUUAUUUUUUUUUUACAGGGGGAACAGGUGCAGAGGGAGAGGGAGAAAGAGAGAGAGAGAGAAUCCCACUCAUGCUCCACAUCCAGCAUGGAGCCAGAGCACGUGAGGCUCAAUUUCACUACCCUGAGAUCAUGACCCAAGCCAAAACCAAGAGUCAGAAGCUUAGGUGACUGAACUUAAUAAGAUCUUAAGAAGAACUGUCAACUUAAAUAAAAGCUUACCAGCAAAAAAGAAAGAGGCCAAACAGCUGUAAUGGAGAUGGUGUCAGAACUGGAGACUGGAGAAUUUAAACCACGCUCCGACGGGGACAUCUAUCCGCAAUACCCCUCUACGGCAUUGUUCGCAGCUUGCCAAUGGCACAAAACUCCAACUGAAGUGAAUUUCAGCAUGAAUUUCAAAUCCAGUAGCAACAUAAUACCUGAUCCCGCUUAGAAGACGAGCGUGGUGGAUUAAUAAAGGUGGAUCUGGCUCUACUCUGCUCAGAAGAGGCUCAGUCUUCAGAAGGUGCUUAGACCAGAAACUAGGAAAGAAAUAGUCCCAUGUUACUUUAAAGAGAUUUUCCUUGGAAUUUUCAUCUUGCUUGUUCU
rnacentral:lncRNA from 1 species